GACGAACGCUGGCGGCGUGCUUAACACAUGCAAGUCGAGCGGUAAGGCUCCUUCGGGAGUACACGAGCGGCGAACGGGUGAGUAACACGUGAGCAAUCUGCCCUUCACUUUGGGAUAACCACCGGAAACGGUGGCUAAUACCGAAUACGACCACUUCAGGCAUCUGAUGGUGGUGGAAAGUUCCGGCGGUGAAGGAUGAGCUCGCGGCCUAUCAGCUUGUUGGUGAGGUAAUGGCUCACCAAGGCUUCGACAGGUAGCCGGCCUGAGAGGGUGACCGGCCACACUGGGACUGAGACACGGCCCAGACUCCUACGGGAGGCAGCAGUAGGGAAUAUUGGACAAUGGGCGAAAGCCUGAUCCAGCAACGCCGCGUGAGGGAUGACGGCCUUCGGGUUGUAAACCUCUUUCAGCGGGGACGAAGCGAAAGUGACGGUACCCGCAGAAGAAGGACCGGCCAACUACGUGCCAGCAGCCGCGGUAAGAC
rnacentral:rRNA from 1 species